AUUGAACGCUGGCGGCAGGCCUAACACAUGCAAGUCGAACGAGUGGCGGACGGGUGAGUAAUGUCUGGGAAACUGCCCGCUGGAGGGGGAUAACUACUGGAAACGGUAGCUAAUACCGCAUACCAUCGGAUGUGCCCAGAUGGGAUUAGCUAGAAGGUGGGGUAACGGCUCACCUAGGCGACGAACCCUAGCUGGUCUGACAGGAUGACCAGCAACACUGGAACUGAGACACGGUCCGAACUCCUACGGAGGGAAGCAGUGGGAAAUAUUGCACAAUGGGCGAAAGCCUGAUGCGGCCAUGCCGCGUGUAUGAGGAGGGCCUUCGGGUUGUAAAGUACUUUCAGCGAGGAGGCGUUACUCGCAGAAGAAGCACCGGCUAACUCCGUGCCAGCCGCCGCGGUAAUUC
rnacentral:rRNA from 1 species